rnacentral:piRNA from 1 species
UGCUUCUUUGAUUGGUCUGUAA